CGAUACCACACCAAACUUUUUGUUACCAACAAACCAUCUAUCAUUGCUCCACACUCGGUAUAGUAUGGUCCCUUUUUGUAGAUGGCCCCCCCACUGAUGAAUUCUUAAAAAAUGCCCUGUCACAAACGGUGCUUUCUUUUGUAUCGUCGCAGUGCGUAUAUUUUCAAUUUUUCGAAUUUCAAUACAUAUUUUUAUUAUUCAAACUAAGGCCUGGUUUGUUGCUUAGCAACUGAAGGCCUGGUUGCAAGGCAAAACGUAAAAUAUUUGCAAAAUAUUCGCAUGCCACAUGUAUAUUUAAAUUCAGGAAUCGAAGCACGAAUAUUGGCGAUUUUCAAAAUCUUUAGUCAUUUAAAACAAUGUUUAAAAUAUUGAGUUUGGCUUCUCAUUCUGACAGUGAAGAACAAGAUAUGCCAAAUGGCCCGAAUGCUGUAACAGCUUCACCAGUAUCGCGUAUAGAUGUAGGCUCAUUGUUUGAUUCAGAUUCUUCAGAGUCAGACUCAGAAUUUUAUGGAUUUGAGUUUUAAUUGCAUCAUGAAAAAG